CCCCUUUUGUCUGAUAUAUGGAGGGGCAGGGGAGCUGCUCUAGGACUUGAUGAGAAGUGUCCACUCCAAGCUGGAGGGGUGGGCAUGCGGCCAUAUUUGUCCUGUAGUUUGGGGCCUUCUCAAUACACAGUUGCUCCUUAUGCACAGAACCCUGGAAAGCCAGCCAGUCAUUUCCUGCGACCUCUUUCAAAGCAGGACUGGGGACCGGAAGUGUGCAAGUGUGUCAGGUCCUGUCCUGGUCACUUGAUUGUCAGGCACCACCCAGUGACAACCUGAGGCAGCAGGCACUGAGUCUCUGGCCCUAGCACCUUGCAUCUGAAACUGUGCAGAGAAAAGCCCAAGAAUUGUUUCUGGUGGGAACUGGGACUUUGCGUCUGGCUACUACAGACCUUCAC